GUAUUUAUGCAAGACACGCAUCUACAGAGCCGUGCAAAGAAAACAAAGCACACGACUCUUCUGAACACAGGUGCGUGAAAAUCAAAAUAGAAAAAAAUACUGCAGUGGAUGAGAUGUUUUCAGGAGCUGUCAUCGUUGAUUUGGAAAAAUUCUAGAUACACCAUCUGGCCAAAACAUUACAGUUUCCCUUCACUGGAACUGAGUGGCCCAAACCUGUUCCAGUAUGACAAUGUCCCUGUGCACAAAGCGAGCUCCAUGAAGUCAUGGUGUACCAAGGUUGGACUUGAAGAACUUGAGUGUCUUGCACAGAGCCCUGAAUGCCCAACCCCACUGAACAUCUAUGGGAUGAAUUGAAACUCUGCACCCCAGACCUUCUCGUCCAACGUCAGUGCCUGACCCCACUAAUGCUCUUUUAGCUGAAUGAAUCCACACCCACAAAUUCCCACAGCCAUGCUCCAAAAUCUAGUGGAAAGACUUCCCAGAAGAGUGGAGGUUAUUAUAACAGCAAAGAGUUAAUAAAACUGGAAUGGGAUGUUCAUCGAGCCUAUAUGGGUGUGAUGGUCAGGUGUGUACAUAUAUUUUGUCAUGUUGCUGUCCGUGGUACUGAUCUUGAACUACAGUCUUUUAUAAGCAACUUCUAUAGUUACAUCAAUGCCCUCUUUCUAAUUUCCAGUGCAUUACGUUUUUUUUUAACCACACAAUUAUUCAUUCCAGCAUAUGAGUCAAAGUUAGAACACUGUUUGUACUGUCUUUGGACCACCUGAUAUAAGCCUGGAGAUUCUCAGCUGAGAGCAGGUUUGGCUGCUGUCAUCACCCUCCAAUGUCUAAAAUGGAGUCAGUAAAAUAUAAUUUUCAGUAUUAAUAGGGGGUGAUGUUUUUACUGCAACAGACCAGACCAUGUUGAUGUAUAGUUCUACUCUGUAAUACGUUUAUUGUUUGCAUAACUGAGAUAAUAAUAUCUCAGCACUAAUAUCAGUCGUGUUAGAUUUCCUGUUAUAUUUUUUCCUUUGUCACACUGUACUACAAAAGCUUUUAGAAAACACAUGAAACAUAUACAGGGGAUGAAAUACUCCCUGACCUCCAGAAGCAAACUGAAACAAACAAACAAACAAACAAACAAACAAACCAUAGGCCAAAAGGGAGUACAGCAGUGGUCACUACUGAUAAUACCACCAGGUUGUUUUUCUGUCUGCAUUCUCCUCAUUAUACUGUUAAUUGGCUUUUCUGGAUGCUGUAACAAACAAAUAGACUAUUUCUUCUACUCAUGCCAUGUGUGAAAUAAGAGUUACCACUGCAUAUCAUUAAUACAUCUUCAAAGAAGUACUCUGUGAUUUCUGCAGGUCUACAGAUGGCACCAUGAACAUGACCCACUAGUAGCUUCUUUGGGUACAAAGUCCCUCUGUUAUUCCCUCCAGAUAGUGUAUCCUAAUGCCUCAGGGAAUAUAAGCAUUCCUGCUAUCUGAAAUCUCACUGGCUACGAAACAUUAACAUCAUUCACCAUUUGGAAUAAAUUUCCGAGCAUCAAGAAACCUUUAAGCAAAUAUGCCAACGUGUUAUAACAACUGCACCAGGCCUUCUCGCCCCCUUGCUCUUGUAACUGAAUGAGUGGAAGAACUCUAAUGUUCUGCACAGAACCCUGACCUCAACCCCAUUGAACACCUUUUGGAUGAAAUGGAACACCAGGCCUCCUCACCCAACAUCACUGCCUGACCUCAUUAAUGCUCUUGUGGCUGAAUGAACACAAAUCCCCACAGCCACACUCCAAAAUCUAUUUGAAAGCCUUCCCAGAAGAGUGGAGGAUGAUAUAAAAGCAAAGAAAGGACUCAAUCUGGAAUGGGAUGUUCACCAAGCACAUACAGGUGUGAUGGUCAGGUGUUCAUAAAUGUUUGGCCAGUACUGUGCAAAAAUCCUAGGCCCCCUUUUUAGCAUGUUAGCAUGUUUUCACAGGUUUGCCACGUACCUCCGGGUGUUGGGGUUCGAAUCCUGUCUCCACCCUGUUUGAGUGAAGUUUGCAUGUUCUCCCAGUCCUUCAGGGGUUUCCUCAGGGUGGUUUACUCCUGCAGUCGAAAGACAUGCGUUGUAGGUUGAUUGGCAUUUCCAAAUUGUCCGUAGUGUGUGAAUGUGUGUGCGAUUGUGGCGAAACCAAGUUUUACAGUUGCAGUCUCCAGAAGAGCUGUGUCAGGUUCUCCAAGAUGCUUAGUAAAACUGAGCAGCCAAUUUCCUUAUAAAACUGCACAAAAUAUCCGUGACGCUACUGAUACAUUUUUAAAGACAACGCGUUGUCACCAAAUAUUGACUUUGUUUAGUUUAAUGCUGUUAACUGCUAUUUAUAGAAGUUUUUUUUUUUAAUGUAGACGAAAUGUAAUUGCAUUAUUUUUGAAGGCAUCUUUGUUUUACAGUAUUUAUUUACAUGUAGUGUGAUGUGGCGUGGCAACAGCGUGAAUAGUUAAUAUUAAUGCGUUUCUUCCGAUAUGUUAUUGUUUCUAGCAACACUUCAUUCACAGGGACUUGUAUACUGGAUACCCCUCAUAAUCUAAGACUUAUAAGUUUGUUUGUUUUUUUUGUUAGGACACAUUUAUGGAAGUAGUCUCCAGUGUCAGCGCUUUGUAACAGUUACAGUGCUUUGCAAAGAUUCCCAGCACGGGUAAGUCUUCAGGAGAAUAUGGUUUUAUGGUUGCUAUAAUGUCAAUGAAAACAAGAACCAACUAUUCUCGCAGACGUUCCACAGCAUUAAAUCUAACUAUAAACAGUUAAAUUGUGCGAAGGGUCAUUCUUUAAAAUAAACAUUGCAGUCAUUGGCAAAUCGCUGUGGUAUAAGCAGAAGCACUGAAAGCACAAUCAACCUGGGUAUAUGGAAGCCCGACCUUUGUAGCAUAGUUUACAUUUAUUUACAUUUAUUCACUUAGCAGACGCUUUUAUCCAAAGCGACUUACAAAUGAGAAAGAUACAAGCAAAAGUUAUAAUAAUAAUAUUUGGAGAAUAUACAAUUCAAUUCAAUUCUAUUUUUAUAUCGUGUGUAGCGAUGGACAUUGUCUCAUAGCAGCUUUACAGAAACAUAUAAACACAGGAGACAGAUUUGAAGUGUGUGAAUUUAUCCCUAUCGAGCGAGCUGGUGGCGACGGUGGUGAGGAAAAACUCCCUAAGAUGAUCUGAGGAAGAAACCUUGAGCGGAACCAGACUCAGAAGGGAACCCGUCCUCAUCUGGGUCACAACGGAUAGUGUGAAAGUAAAGGAAAGUUCAUUAUAGUUUUAAUAAUUGUUGGAGCAAACUAAUUAAGCAAGCUAGAAUGUUACCUGUUUUUGUAGUAAACACCAAGCUCCUGAAAACUCCAAUACCGAUGUCAUCUGUAAUCAGACCUGGACAGAAAUAACCAUAGUGUUGGAUAUGGUGUGUCUCCAUGCUGCCCAAACUCAGAACACUGUUACAAUGUUAUAUUUUAUUUUAGUAACUUUAAGCUAAUGUUGUACCUUCUCUGUACGACUGUUAAUAAUUUUAAUCGGUGUGUCGCUCCCUAAUUGAAGCAAAGUGUAAAUGUUUAACAUCUUGAGUGUUUUGAGAGACAAUGUUCACUCAGCAAAGUAAUACACAUAGUAUACAGAAAUCGUUCUGGUGGGAAAAUAAGAGAACCCUCAGUUUUCUUAUGUACAUCAAGGUAAAGCAAGAUCACGUGAGUCGAUGACAGAGCUUUAAACAAUUAAGGACGCUAACAAAUGAAACAAGUUCUGAGGUGAUAUGUUAGGGAGGAGCAAACAUAAAUAAUUGGAAGAAUGCAGGGCAGUCUAUGCCAUCAUGCCUCAAACGAAGGACAUAUAAGAAGAGCUAAGAAAAAAGUAAUGGUUGCUCAACAAGCUGGACAAGGUUGUAGAGCCAUUUCAAAAACCUUUGAACUCCAUAAAUCCACCUUUAGACAAAUAGUAUACAAGUAGAAGGCAUUCAGUACUAUUGUAACCUUGCCAAGAAAUUGACCUCCUCCAAAGGUCAUGAAGAGGUCAGAGUUAAUCGGAAAAUAACAUCAAGUGUCUCCUGGAAGAACCCUAUCCUUUCAAAAAAGGCAGACGUUUUCCAGAAACCACCUCGAAAAAACCUGAAGCGAUCUGGAAGUCUGUUUGCUGAACAGAUCAGUACAAAACUGAAUUCUCUGAGCAUACAAAGAGGGCUCAAGUUGGCAAAGAGCCAACACAGCUUACCACCAACAAAACCUUAUCCCUAUUGUCAAGUAUGGUGGUGGGAGUGUCCUUCUAUGGGGCAACUUGACAUCAUUAAAGGAAUCAUGAACUCUGAGAAAUAUCGAAGAAUUCUUUGGAAUAAUGUCAAUUCGGAAACUCAGGUUGAGUACAAACUCAAUCCUAAUCCUAUAUAUUCAUGUAUGUCCACAAGAUACUGGCUUAGAAGAAGAGGUUCUGGGUAAUGGAAUGGCCAAACCAAUGCUCUGACCUGAAUCCUACUGAGAUGUGGUGGCAGGAUGUGAAUAGAGCCAAGAUCCUGCCAUGAACUCAAAUGGUAUGCAAAGCUGGGAGAAACCUGCUCCAACAGACUUGAAGCUGUUGUUGCAACAAAAGGUGGUUCUACCAAGUACUAUUCUGAAGGAGUUGAAUAUGUAUGCAAGCAGCAUUUUUUAGGUAUUUUAAGCUGAUGAUUGACUUACAAAUUUUACUUUGCAGGCAUAUUGGUCUGUAAUUAAAAAAAAAAUACUGGCUGAAACAAUCUGUGUAACAGUCUGAUGGCUUUAAAGGGAGUUGAGUACUUUUGCAACCCACCAUAUCUCUAUAAUAAUAAUAAUAAUAAGAAGAAGAAGAAGAAGAAAAAUAAUAAAUAACUACUACCUUGAAGGGUUCACAAACUUUCAAGCAUGACUGUAGUGUUUGUUUGAUUUUUUUUUUUAAAUACUACAAUGCCUUUUUUAUUACUCCCAACCAUGUAGUGAAUGAGCAAAUAGAGGUAUUUAACACAGAGUAAUAGCUCUGGAUGAGAUAGUGACUUUCAUCACACCACUAUAGUGCAGUGAUUUUUAUUGCUAAAGUUGAACACUGAUUCAGUUCUUGCACUGCCCACAUUUAGAAACAUUUCCACCAUUGUGCAAUUGGUGUUAGGAGCAAGUAUCAGCUGUCCCUUCAGUCACAUCAGUGUGCAACUAUGAGUUGUGGCUAGAAGAAAAGCAGAACCUGGGAAAUGGAAGUCAUUCUUCAUACAGUUAUACAGUUUAAGAAAAGAUCCAAGAGACACAUGAGGUGUGCACCACAUGGCAGUAAUAGGCACAGAUUAGGGUGACCAAUA